UGCCAGCCGCCGCGGUAAUGCGGAGGGAGCUAGCGUUGUUCGGAAUUACUGGGCGUAAAGCGUGCGUAGGCGGAUCGACAAGUUGGGGGUGAAAUCCCGGGGCUUAACCCCGGAACUGCCCUCAAAACUGUCGAUCUAGAGACCGGGAGAGGUAAGCGGAAUUCCUAGUGUAGAGGUGAAAUUCGUAGAUAUUAGGAAGAACACCAGUGGCGAAGGCGACUUUCUGGCUCGUAACUGACGCUGAGGCACGAAAGCGUGGGGAGCAAACAGGAUUAGAUA
rnacentral:rRNA from 1 species